rnacentral:misc_RNA from 1 species
GUUGAAGAACGUAGCGAAAUGCGAUAAGUAGUGUGAAUUGCAGAAUUCAGUGAAUCAUCGAAUCUUUGAACGCACAUUGCGCCCCUUGGUAUUCCAUGGGGCAUGCCUGUUCGAGCGUCAUUUGUACCUUCAAGCCUUGCUUGGUGUUGGGUGUUUGUCUCGCCUCUGCGCGCAGACUCGCCUCAAAACAAUUGGCAGCCGGCGUAUUGAUUUCGGAGCGCAGUACAUCUCGCGCUUUGCACUCAGAACGACGACGUCCAAAAGUACAUUUUUACACUCUUGACCUCGGAUCAGGUAGGGAUACCCGCUGAACUUAAGCAUAUCAAUAAGCGGAGGA